AAAGGCUUAGGAUUAAUUUUUAGACCAAAGGCCUUCAAAGCCUUAAGCAGGUGUUGAAUCAUCUAGCCUUUG
rnacentral:tRNA from 1 species